rnacentral:rRNA from 1 species
GACGAACGCUGGCGGCGUGCUUAACACAUGCAAGUCGAGCGGUAAGGCCCUUCGGGGUACACGAGCGGCGAACGGGCGAGUAACACGUGGGUGACCUGCCUCUAGCUCUGGGAUAAGCCUGGGAAACUGGGUCUAAUACCGGAUAUGACUCCACGGCGCAUGUUGUGGGGUGGAAAGCCUUGUGUGGCUAGAGAUGGGCCCGCGGCCUAUCAGCUUGUUGGUGGGGUGAUGGCCUACCAAGGCGACGACGGGUAGCCGGCCUGAGAGGGCGACCGGCCACACUGGGACUGAGACACGGCCCAGACUCCUACGGGAGGCAGCAGUGGGGAAUCUUGCGCAAUGGGCGAAAGCCUGACGCAGCGACGCCGCGUGAGGGAUGACGGCCU